UAAAAUCAACAAAAAACCCACAGCAAAUAUUAUUAUCAAUGGGAAAAGCUUAGAGCUUUUCUCUUAAGAUCAGGAACAUGAGAAGGAUGCCUACU